rnacentral:rRNA from 1 species
CAGUCGCCGCGGUAAUACGAAGGGUGCAAGCGUUACUCGGAAUUACUGGGCGUAAAGCAUGCGUAGGCGGUGAGUUAAGUCUGCUGUGAAAUCCCCGGGCUCAACCUGGGAAUGGCAGUGGAUACUGGCUCGCUAGAGUGUGUCAGAGGAUGGUGGAAUUCCCGGUGUAGCGGUGAAAUGCGUAGAGAUCGGGAGGAACAUCAGUGGCGAAGGCGGCCAUCUGGGACAACACUGACGCUGAGGCACGAAAGCGUGGGGAGCAAACAGGAUUAGAUACCCCAGUAGUCCCUGUCUCUUAUAC